rnacentral:lncRNA from 1 species
GCAUGAGGGAAAAUGAAGCUCAGAAGCUCAAUUUCAUGGUCAUUUUCUCACUUCUACUGAUUUUCUGUAAGUUUUACCAAAUACCCGUCUUAAUUUGUCACUCUAUUUGCUUGAUUUCAUGGUUUUUCUCGGUUGGGUAUUUAUAAAACCUAAAAAGUUUGGAUCUUUUCUUCAGGGUUUAGCUAUUUGUUGAUUCUGUGUGUUGGAUUGAUGGGUUUAAAACUGGGUUUCUUUGUUUAUGAGAAUGUGUUUGAGCUGUUAAUGAUGUUUGGUAGUUGAUUGGAUGCUUUAAGAUUUAAGGGGUUUGCUUAGAUUUGUUUGUUGUUGAAGCUUAUUUGAUUUUAGGGUUUUGAGUGCAUUUUUGACUUUUUUAUAGUCAAACCUAGUGAGUGUCAACUACAGAGUUUAAGAAUGAAACUUGUUACAAAUGUAACAUAUCGAAAUGUUACAGAAUCCCAAUUAUGUAUGUCAGUUGAAUGCACAAAAAAAAAAUCAAUAAUGAAGUCACUGGAAAAAAAAAAGAUGUUGCCUUUUGGAAUGCGGCCGGAGUGUUCGUAAACCGUUGAAACUUACCAAAUUGCCAUGCCGAAGUAAGUCGGCUGCUUAGAGAUUUAUGUGAUUAGGGUUUUAUUAGUUUUUCGUGCCUUGGCGGUUUACUGGUGGUUUGGAACAUGGAACUGAAACUGUCGGUUAAUCUUUUUAUUUUAUCUAUUUUUUUUUUUGGAAUAUUUAGUUAUGCAUACGUGUGCGCAUAUAAUGUAUAUAUGUGUGGGCGCUCGGGGGCAAAAGUGAAAUGACACUAAUUUUAACGUUAUUUUACUAAUUUCGUGAAAAUAACGUUAAAAAAAGAGGGGGAUGGUUAAUCAUGCAUCAUGUGGUGGCGUUGAUAGCCGAAAGACAAGAGAGUACAUGCACUAAUCGUCCUUUGUCUUAAUUGCUGAGUGCUAUGUGCCUUAUGUCCAAGGCUUGAUGCAAAACUACUAUCGAGCCAGGGGUGUCAUUGGAAGUAGCCUCUCUCUUCCUAACGGGUAGAGGUAAGGUUGUCUACAUCUUACCCUCCUUAGACCCUACCUUAGCUUUGCUAUUGGUGGGAUUUACUGAGUAUGAUGAUGAUGAGUUAUGCAUAUGUAUAUUAUAUAAAUGAAUCGUAGUUAGUUAUUUGACCUACAAUAUUUGUCCAAACCGACCGAACUGGACCGUGAACAUCCCUAGCUAAAGAAGCAAUUUGUUUCAAAUUUUUGACAUACAAUCACUUGCACUUAUUGAAUCUAUUUGUUUUCUUGGGUUGUAACCUACUAUUCACAUGGUUUAGGUGGGCUAACACUUGUUGGGAAUUUGGAAUAAUGUUGUCAAGUACAAAUCCUUAUUCAUUGUUCUAGUUUUGAUGGUUGAUUAUCAUAAUUAUAUACUUGAUUCCAUUAAACAUAAAAAAAUACCAACCGAAUUUGCAGACGUUGGUAAUCCAGUUGCAACUAUAUGUAUAUAUUGUAUGUUGUAGACCCAGGUCGUCGUUUUAGUUUAGAUGCUAUGAUGAUCCGCUUACAAAGUCCACAUAGAGAUAAUAUGGGUUGUGAUCGCAGCCCAUGUAAAUGCAACAUGCUAUGGUUGAUGUCCUAACCGAAGUGGUGAAUAUGUAGCGCGAGGCGUUCCGAAGCGUUUUGGUUCCAAAAACUUUAAGCGAAACUUCAAGCGUGAAGCGAGAGCUUCACGUAUACGAAGCGCUCAAAAUAAAAAAAUAUUGUACACAUCAAUAUGACCUAUUCUACUUGUUAAUCAAUAAUAAACACAAAAACAUGAAUAAAAAACACACU